GAGGCAAUACUGCGAAGUGGAGCAAAUCCCUAAAAGCCAUCUCAGUUCGGAUUGCAGGCUGCAACUCGCCUGCAUGAAGCUGAAAUUGCUAGUAAUCGCGGAUCAGCAUGCCGCGGUGAAUACGUUCCCGGGCCUUGUACACACCGCCCGUCACACCAUGAGGGUCGGGAACACCCGAAGUCCGUAGUCUAACCCGCAAGGGAGGGCGCGGCCGAAGGUGGGUCCGGUAAUUGGGGUGAAGUCGUAACAAGGUACC
rnacentral:rRNA from 1 species